UACGAAGGGGGCUAGCGUUGCUCGGAAUCACUGGGCGUAAAGCGCACGUAGGCGGCAUCUUAAGUCGGGGGUGAAAUCCUGGAGCUCAACUCCAGAACUGCCUCGAUACUGGGAUGCUCGAGUCCGGGAGAGGUGAGUGGAACUGCGAGUGUAGAGGUGAAAUUCGUAGAUAUUCGCAAGAACACCAGUGGCGAAGGCGGCUCACUGGCCCGGUACUGACGCUGAGGUGCGAAAGCGAGGGGAGCAAACUGG
rnacentral:rRNA from 1 species